CACUCCUACGGGAGGCAGCAGUGGGGAAUAUUGCACAAUGGGCGCAAGCCUGAUGCAGCCAUGCCGCGUGUAUGAAGAAGGCCCUUCCGGGUUGUAAAGUACUUUCAGCGGGGAGGAAGGGAGUAAAGUUAAUACCUUUGCUCAUUGACGUUACCCGCAGAAGAAGCACCGGCUAACUCCGUGCCAGCACCGCGGUAA
rnacentral:rRNA from 1 species